UCGGGAAUUUUGGGCAAUGGGCGAAAGCCUGACCCAGCAACGCCGCGUGAGGGAUGAAGUAUUUCGGUAUGUAAACCUCGAAAGAAUGGGAAGAAUAAAUGACGGUACCAUUUAUAAGCUCCGGCUAACUACGUGCCAGCAGCCGCGGUAAUACGUAGGGAGCAAGCGUUGUUCGGAUUUACUGGGCGUAAAGGGAGCGUAGGUGGAUAUUUAAGUGGGAUGUGAAAUCCCCGGGCUUAACCUGGGUGCUGCAUUCCAAACUGGAUGUCUAGAGUGCAGGAGAGGACAGUGGAAUUCCUAGUGUAGCGGUGAAAUGCGUAGAGAUUAGGAAGAACACCAGUGGCGAAGGCGACUCUCUGGACUGUAACUGACACUGAGGCUCGAAAGCGUGG
rnacentral:rRNA from 1 species